rnacentral:ncRNA from 1 species
UGACCUCGAAUCAGGUAGGGAUACCCGCUGAACUUAAGCAUAUCAAUAAGCGGAGGAAAAGAAACCAACAGGGAUUACCUCAGUAACGGCGAGUGAAGCGGUAACAGCUCAAAUUUGAAAUCUGGUCCGGUUACGGGCCCGAGUUGUAAUUUGUAGAAGAUGCUUUGGUAAUGAGUCCGGCCUAAGUUCCUUGGAACAGGACGUCAUAGAGGGUGAGAACCCCGUAUGCGGCCGAGUACUCAGUGCCAUGUAAAGCUCUUUCGACGAGUCGAGUUGUUUGGGAAUGCAGCUCAAAAUGGGUGGUAAAUUUCAUCUAAAGCUAAAUAUUGGCCAGAGACCGAUAGCGCACAAGUAGAGUGAUCGAAAGAUGAAAAGCACUUGGAAAGAGAGU